rnacentral:rRNA from 1 species
UACGUAGGGACCGAGCGUUGUCCGGAAUCAUUGGGCGUAAAGCGCGUGUAGGCGGUCCGGUAAGUCGGCUGUGAAAGUCCAGGGCUCAACCCUGGGAUGCCGGUCGAUACUGCCGGACUAGAGUUCGGAAGAGGCGAGUGGAAUUCCCGGUGUAGCGGUGAAAUGCGCAGAUAUCAGGAAGAACACCCGUGGCGAAGGCGGCUCUCUGGGACGGUACUGACGGCUGAGGAGCGAAAGCGUGGGUAGCAAACAGG